GACGAACGCUGGCGGCGUGCCUAACACAUGCAAGUCGAGCGGGGUUGAAGCGAGGGGUAACUCGAGUUUCUACCUAGCGGCGGACGGGUGAGUAACGCGUGGGCAACCUGCCUCAAGGACUGGGAUAACAGCUCGAAAGGGCUGCUAAUACCGGAUAAGCCUAUGGCCUCGCAUGGGGCCAUGAGCAAAGGGGAAACCCGCCUUGAGAUGGGCCCGCGUCCCAUCAGCUAGUUGGUGAGGUGAAGGCUCACCAAGGCGACGACGGGUAGCCGGCCUGAGAGGGUGACCGGCCACACUGGGACUGAGACACGGCCCAGACUCCUACGGGGGGCAGCAGUGGGGAAUCUUGCACAAUGGGCGAAAGCCUGAUGCAGCGACGCCGCGUGAGCGAAGAAGGCCUUCGGUUGUAAAGCUCUGUCUGGAGGGACGAAGGAAGUGACGGUACCUCCGGAGGAAGCCACGGCUAACUACGUGCCAGCAGCCGCGGUAAACGUAGACGUG
rnacentral:rRNA from 1 species